rnacentral:rRNA from 1 species
GACGAACGCUGACGGCGUGCUUAACACAUGCAAGUCGAACGGUGAAGCGCCUUCCUUUUUGGUGGGUGUGGAUGAGUGGCGAACGGGUGAGUAACACGUGAGUAACCUGCCCCCUUCUUCUGGAUAACCGCAUGAAAGUGUGGCUAAUACGGGAUAUUCUGGGUCUGUCGCAUGAUGGGUCUGGGAAAGAUAUUGUUUCGGUGGGGGAUGGGCUCGCGGCCUAUCAGCUUGUUGGUGGGGUGAUGGCCUACCAAGGCGGUGACGGGUAGCCGGCCUGAGAGGGUGGACGGUCACACUGGGACUGAGGCACGGCCCAGACUCCUACGGGAGGCAGCAGUGGGGAAUAUUGCACAGUGGGGGCAAGCCUGAUGCAGCGACGCCGCGUGAGGGAUGGAGGCCUUCGGGUUGUGAACCUCUUUCGCCAGUGAAGCAGGCCUGCCUCGUUUGUGGGUGGGUUGACGGUAGCUGGAUAAGAAGCGCCGGCUAACUACGUG